rnacentral:lncRNA from 1 species
AAAUGGGUGCAUGAAUGCAUGAAUGCAACAAUCACACUCAAGGAUCAAGCAAAGAUAUGUUUAUUUGCUGCCUUGCUCUUCAUCUUGCUAUUUGUGAUUGAUAUUGCUUGAUUAUAAAGUCCAAGGGAAAUUUGGGUUUCUAUUUGAUAUUCUUGUCUAUUGGAUUGCAGCCCAUUGGUCAGAUCUUUUCAACUCUCAACUUUUAAAUUUUAUGCUUAGGAUUAGUCUCUUCAUCUUCUCCCCAUUUCUUUAAUUUCAAACUCU